rnacentral:rRNA from 1 species
GAUGAACGCUGCGGCGUGCUUAACACAUUCAAGUCGAACGAAGUAGCAAUACUUAGUGGCGGACGGGUGAGUAACGCGUGAGCAACCUGCCUUUGUGAGGGGGAUAACGUUUGGAAACGAACGCUAAUACCGCAUAAUGCAUAGAAAUCACAUGUUUUUUAUGCCAAAGAUUUAUCGCACGAAGAUGGGCUCGCGUGUAAUUAGAUAGUUUGUGAGGUAACGGCUCACCAAGUCGACGAUUAGUAGCCGGACUGAGAGGUUGAACGACCACAUUGGAACUGAGAUACGGUCCAGACUCCUACGGGAGGCAGCAGUGGGGAAUAUUGGGCAAUGGGCGAAAGCCUGACCCAGCGACGCCGCGUGAGGGAAGAAGUCCUUCGGGAUGUAAACCCUAGUCGACGGGGACGAAGAAAUGACGGUACCUGUAGAGGAAGCCACGGCUAACUACGUGCCAGCAGCCGCAGUAACAC